GACGAACGCUGGCGGCGUGCUUAACACAUGCAAGUCGAACGGAAAGGCCCUGCUUUUGUGGGGUGCUCGAGUGGCGAACGGGUGAGUAACACGUGAGUAACCUGCCCUUGACUUUGGGAUAACUUCAGGAAACUGGGGCUAAUACCGGAUAGGAGCUCCUGCUGCAUGGUGGGGGUUGGAAAGUUUCGGCGGUUGGGGAUGGACUCGCGGCUUAUCAGCUUGUUGGUGGGGUAGUGGCUUACCAAGGCUUUGACGGGUAGCCGGCCUGAGGGGGUGACCGGCCACAUUGGGACUGAGAGACGGCCCAGACUCCUACGGGAGGCAGCAGUGGGGAAUAUUGCACAAUGGGCGGAAGCCUGAUGCAGCAACGCCGCGUGCGGGAUGACGGCCUUCGGGUUGUAAACCGCUUUCGCCUGUGACGAAGCGGGAGUGACGGUAAUGGGUAAAGAAGCACCGGCUAACUACGUG
rnacentral:rRNA from 1 species